rnacentral:lncRNA from 1 species
GGGAAAUAAGCGAGUAAGAUGUAAACAACUACUUUAAGAUGUAAGAUUUUUUAAAAAGGGUUUUCUCAAAAACUGAAAGCAAAAUAAUUUUAGAGUGUAAAGUGUAUUGAAAUUGCAAUAGUAUAAAGUGUUAUUAGUGCAAUAUGUUCUUAGUGUCUGACUUAUGUUGGAUUAUCUCUAUCCUCAAGGGAGAGUCUGGCUAAUAUUAUCAUCAAGGAGUUUAUAAAACCAUAUUGAGGGUCAACAAUGAUUCAGUAUAAGAACCAAUAAGAAGCUGGUUCUUACAGAAGGAUAAGAGCACAGUGAUUAAGCAUACAGGCUCUCUAGAGCCAGAUAGGCCCAAGGUCAACUCCUCUCUCAGCCACCUUGAUAUUUACUUCUGAAAGUUACCUAAGGUCUUACAAUUUCCAUUUCCAUGUCUGUAAAAUGAGGACAAAAAAUGGUCCCUACUUCCUAGGGUUGCUGCGAGGAAAUUCAGGAACACUUAAAAAAUGCUUAGGAGUUUGUCUAAACUGUAGGUAAGUGCUCAAUAAAUGGGUUGCUUGUUAAGCUCAUGGUCACAAAUUCCACUCUUAUCAUUGCAAUCUCCGACCUCCUACUCUUUUGCCACCAUAAGGUGAAGAAAAGAAUACAAAGCAAGCAAAUGCCUCUCUCAUAAUUUUUCCUUUUAAAACAAGUUUACUAAAUAUUGAAAAUGCUGUCUCGAGUGUGACUUCCAUAAACUCAACUUGGCACAAUAAAGUUGACAUCACACUGGAUGAAGAAAUUCCAAUUGGGAAAAUGAUUGGAGUGCCAGGCAACAGAUGAAGAUAACCUGGGGGAUUUAACCUUUGAACUAGAUCCACAGAAUGAUUACUUUGCAGUUGACAAAGAGCAUGGGACUGUGGUUACUGCUACACGUCUUGACAUGGAGAGAACAGGGUUUGGAAGUGUCCAGUCCUUCUCCAUUAAGGCUUGUGACUGUAACCGGCGGUGUGCAGCAAUUCUAGUAACUGCCUAUAUCCAUGGCAUUAAUGACAACUCACCUUUCUGUGAUCGGUACCUCAUUAGGCACACACUCAAGGAGGAAAUUGCGAAAGAUACAGUAGUUGCAAAACUCUUGUGUCAUGACCUUGAUGAGCCUCCUGAUACAACUCCUUAUGCUCCUAGCUCAGGCCCAGUUGGUUCUGGACAACUCUUUGAGCAAGUGCCAAAUGCUGAAAAUGUCAUCCAGCAUUCUACAAAGUUGGAAGAGUGAUUGCCAUUGAUGAAGACCACCCACCAAACUGUGUGACAUACAAAAUAGCCAAUGGAGACACCCAGGUUAUACAAAGAUUCUGGAUUCAUCCUCUCUCUGGAAUGAUCGAACUUACCACACAGCCAGACUAUGAGUCUGUGAAGCAAUAUAACCUCACCGUGGAAGCUGUGGACUGUGACAGAUUUCACUCUCAUACAGCAAUGACUAUGGU